CUUCAGUUUGAGAAGCUCAUGGUGGUUAAAAGUGAUACAGAGAAGAUUAGCAUGGCCCCUGCACAAGGAUGGCACGCAAAUUGGAGAAGCGUUCCAUAUUCAA